AGUGAACGCUGGCGGUAGGCCUAACACAUGCAAGUCGAACGGCAGCACAGUAAGAGCUUGCUCUUACGGGUGGCGAGUGGCGGACGGGUGAGGAAUACAUCGGAAUCUACUUUUUCGUGGGGGAUAACGUAGGGAAACUUACGCUAAUACCGCAUACGACCUACGGGUGAAAGCAGGGGAUCUUCGGACCUUGCGCGAUUGAAUGAGCCGAUGUCGGAUUAGCUAGUUGGCGGGGUAAAGGCCCGCCAAGGCGACGAUCCGUAGCUGGUCUGAGAGGAUGAUCAGCCACACUGGAACUGAGGCACGGUCCAGACUCCUACGGGAGGCAGCAGUGGGGAAUAUUGGACAAUGGGCGCAAGCCUGAUCCAGCCAUACCGCGUGGGUGAAGAAGGCCUUCGGGUUGUAAAGCCCUUUUGUUGGGAAAGAAAAGCAGCAGGUUAAUACCCCGCUGUUCUGACGGUACCCAAAGAAUAAGCACCGGCUAACUUCGUG
rnacentral:rRNA from 1 species